AGGACGAACGCUGGCGGCGUGCUUAACACAUGCAAGUCGAGCGGAAAGGCCCUUCGGGGUACUCGAGCGGCGAACGGGUGAGUAACACGUGAGUAACCUGCCCCUAGCUCUGGGAUAGCUCCGGGAAACCGGGAUUAAAUACCAGAUACGACCACUUUAGACAUCUGUCGUGGUGGAAAGGAUUCCGGCUAGGGAUGGGCUCGCGGCCUAUCAGCUUGUUGGUGGGUAACGCCUACCAAGGCGACGACGGUAGCCGG
rnacentral:rRNA from 1 species